CAACAGUGAGAGUCCAGUAUCUAUGCUGCAAUAGUCAAUGUGCCGGGGGGCUAGGGUCAGUCUGUUAAAUCUGGUGUAAUUCACCUGUCUUAUCUGGUGUCCUGUGUGCUCACUCUAAUUCUCUCUCUCCCUCCCCUCCUAGAGGACCUGAGCCCUAGGAUUAUGCCUCAGGACUACCUGGCCUGAUGACUCCUGUCUGUCCCCAGUCCGCUUGGUCUUGCUGCUGCUCCAGAGCGCUGCAGAGAUGGUUGUCCUGGAAGGUUCUCCCAUCACCACAGAGGAACUCUGGAUCUCUGUCGAAGUGACCAUCGGGUUCUUGGUCACCACCCUGACCAAGGCCCUUCUCCCCCGAUUUCUUAGUUUGGCCGGGCGGCCAGCUCUAGGAGGAGUCAUGAUGGUUCCAAACAUCUUCCCUUUUAGAAUGAUGGAGGCCACUGUGUUCUUGGGGACCUUCAAUGCUGCAGAAAUGUUUUGGUACCCUUCCCCA
ensembl:lncRNA